CAAUACCCUUAACUGUGCAUCCGGUCGUCGACGUCGCGAUGCUUCCACGAAUCCGUACAAGAUCAUUUCUGCUGGUCCCGUCCUCAUUGCUACAAGUAUAGAUGAUGAUACAAGACCAUGUGAACAGAAUGAUUAUUGUUCCGAUGUAUGUACGAUGAUGGGUGGUAAGCCCGUAUGCUCGUGUGGUGAAGGGUUGGAACUUGGAGAGGAUAUGAGAACAUGUGUUGAAUUGCCGAACGAGGAUUCGAACACGCUGGUCUACCUAAUGGGGAUUUCCCUGGUACUUCUACUUGGAAUAAUAGCAAUGAAGAAAUUCAACGCAUAGUGAAUGCACUGUGUUGUAUACAUGCCUAAUAUAACAAUGGGUGGAAUUAGAAAGAUCUAUAAGCGGAAUAAAUCAUAUUCGUAUUCAAA